rnacentral:rRNA from 1 species
GUGCCAGCAGCCGCGGUAAUACGAAGGGGGCGAGCGUUGUUCGGAUUUACUGGGCGUAAAGGGCGCGCAGGCGGCUCAUUUUGUCAGGCGUGAAAGCCCCGGGCUUAACCUGGGAACUGCGUUUGAUACGGAUGGGCUAGAGUUCGGGAGAGGAGAGUGGAAUUCCCAGUGUAGAGGUGAAAUUCGUAGAUAUUGGGAAGAACACCGGUGGCGAAGGCGGCUCUCUGGACCGAGACUGACGCUGAGGCGCGAAAGCGUGGGGAGCAAACAGGAUUAGAUACCCCCGUAGUCC